rnacentral:sRNA from 1 species
GUGAAUGGUAGUGGUGCCUAUGCCAAGGACCUGGCUAUGGUGGCUUCAGACAUGAUGGUUCUCCUGAAGACCUUCUUCAAUUGCCACAAAGAAUUCCAGACAGUUCCAUUCUACAUUUUCUCAGAGUCCUAUGGAGGAAAAAUGGCAGCUGGCAUUGGUCUAGAGCUUUAUAAGGCCAUUCAGCGAGGGACCAUCAAGUGCAACUUUGCGGGGGUUGCCUUGGGUGAUUCCUGGAUCUCCCCUGUUGAUUCGGUGCUCUCCUGGGGACCUUACCUAUACAGCAUGUCUCUUCUCGAAGACAAAGGUCUGGCAGAGGUGUCUAAGGUUGCAGAGCAAGUACUGAAUGCCGUAAAUAAGGGGCUCUACAGAGAGGCCACAGAGCUGUGGGGGAAAGCAGAAAUGAUCAUUGAACAGGUAAAAAGGGGAAACACUCAGAGGCGAGCCUGCUUGGCUUUUUCUGGUGGGUACAGGGCCCAUGGUUGGUGUUGUCAAACUUGGAGUCUACACUGAGGCUCCCCACAUAUCUGCAAAUGAUUGCAUGCUGGAUAGUAAAUCUCUUGGGUCUGAGCAGUGAUGUAGUGGCUCCUUACAGAGUCAGAAAGCCACCCAGGCCUGCAAGACUUGCUUGUCCUUCACUAAAUGUAUGGAUUCUAU